CUUCACUCUACCAGAAACAACUGCUCACAGGACAAAUCUGGCCCCCAGGUCUUUUUAAAUGAAAGGAAAUCAAGAUAAGGUGAAGAGGAGAUCAGUUGCCUCUGCAGAAGGUGUCUGAGAAGGAGAUGUUGAAGGUGCCACGGGGUUAGACAAAAGGAGCAGAUCUUCAGUGUGUGUCCUCAGCCAGAUGCUGGAACAACUGGAAGGAUCGCAGCUUUGCUUCUCCUCUUCCCCCAUAAGUCAUCUGAGAAGACUGCUUAAAUAUUCCACACUGCCUUAGUGUGACUGAAAUUUCCAGCUGUUUUGCUGCCAGGAAGAACCAGGUGCCUUGGGAACAGUGAGGCUGAAAGGAGCAGGAAGCAAAGAAUGUGGCUGUUGAAGGUAGGGUCUCCUUUGAUUAGGGUUUUACUUAGGC
ensembl:lincRNA